GUGAAUCAUCGAAUCUUUGAACGCACCUUGCGCCCCGUGGUAUUCCGCGGGGCACGCCUGUUUGAGUGUCACGUUAAUCAUCGUUCCAAAGAGAUGUUACAGUUUCUUUGGCGCGGAUUUGGACGCUGCCGUAGUUGGCUCGUCUCGAAAUGCAUUAGCUGUCUAAGGACCCAGAGCUACUGGUGUAAUACUUGUUGUUGCGCCGCCUGUUCUGAGUCUGGUGAAGGCUCAUAAACCGCCCGUGAGGGCAACAUACUUGUGACUUUGGCCUCAAAUCAGGUGGGACUACCCGCUGAACUUAAGCAUAUCAAUAAGCGGAGGA
rnacentral:misc_RNA from 1 species